UACCAGCUCUCCGAGUGGUGUGGAUGUUUAUUGGGCCUAAAGCAUCCGUAGCUGGCUGGACAAGUCCCCUGUUAAAUCCACCGAUUUAAUCGUUGGUGUGCGGGGGAUACUGUUCGGCUAGGGGACGGGAGAGGCCGACGGUAUUUCCGGGGUAGGGGUGAAAUCCUAUAAUCCCGGGAAGACCACCAGUGGCGAAGGCUGUCGGCUAGGACGCGCCCGACGGUGAGGGAUGAAAGCUGGGGGAGCGAACCGGAUUAGAUACCCGGGUAGUCCCAGCUGUAAACGAUGCAGGCUAGGUGUUUGGGCGGCCACGUGCCGCUCUAGUGCCGCAAGGAAGCUGUUAAGCCUGCCGCCUGGGGAGUACGGCCGCAAGGCUGAAACUUAAAGGAAUUGGCGGGGAGCACCACAAGGCGUGAAGCUUGCGGUUC
rnacentral:rRNA from 1 species